CUGAGAGACCAGCUCCUAGACCCUGCUCUGCCUCAAGCAGAUCUGAGGCUAUUGCCUUGUUCCUUCUGAGCCCCUGAGUCUUUGUCUGGAAGAGACUGUGGAAAGCAGUCCUUCUUUCUCAGCCACCUUCACCCCUGGAAUCUAUGUCAAGGUGUGUAUUCCCAACAGCAGUAUGCCUGCCCUGAAGUCUUAAUGAGAAUGAGGAGCCCUGCAGCAGCUAGAAGGUGCAGCCGCUAGCCAUGCAUGAAGUUAAUUUAGCUUCUGUAAAUGUCUGGCGGCUUAGGUAGCAAGAGACAGGCCUGGCCUGCAUAGAUGAUCCGUGCUCUGCCUUGGAAAUGAUGGAGGAGAAACAGCUCUCCCAAACCGAUGAGUUUCAUUCCUAAAGUGACUGCACCAUAACCUGGGGAGACUGGGCUUGUUUUCAUCUUAAGCUGAAAAGGUUUCCAAAAACAAUCAUUUCAUUGUUUUUCUACUCACUGCUAACUCAAUAAAAGUGGUUCUUUUAAUUAAUUUCAUUGUUCCUCAUUGUGCUGUUUUUGAACUAAUAAAAACGUUCUUUCUGCUCUCUCCAUGGCUCUUGCAGCCUCCAGCCAUUUCCCAGCAUUCAUCAACUCCCCAAAUGCCAAAGGUGGAUGGGAUGUCAGACCAUUUAAGCCAAUUCACCUCAUUUUGCAGAUGAGAAAACUGAGGCCCAGAGAGGGAUAGUGACCUAUUCAAGGCAUACACUGAAUUAGUGGCCAAGUUGGGAUUCAAACCCACUUGGGAAAGGCUCGGCCAUGCAGCUAACAUCUGACAGUUUUUGCACAGACUGCGU
rnacentral:lncRNA from 1 species